UUUGAUCCUGGCUCAGGACGAACGCUGGCGGCGUGCCUAAUACAUGCAAGUUGAGCGCUGAAGGUUGGUACUUGUACCAACUGGAUGAGCAGCGAACGGGUGAGUAACGCGUGGGGAAUCUGCCUUUGAGCGGGGGACAACAUUUGGAAACGAAUGCUAAUACCGCAUAAAAACUUUAAACACAAGUUUUAAGUUUGAAAGAUGCAAUUGCAUCACUCAAAGAUGAUCCCGCGUUGUAUUAGCUAGUUGGUGAGGUAAAGGCUCACCAAGGCGAUGAUACAUAGCCGACCUGAGAGGGUGAUCGGCCACAUUGGGACUGAGACACGGCCCAAACUCCUACGGGAGGCAGCAGUAGGGAAUCUUCGGCAAUGGACGAAAGUCUGACCGAGCAACGCCGCGUGAGUGAAGAAGGUUUUCGGAUCGUAAAACUCUGUUGGUAGAGAAGAACGUUGGUGAGAGUGGAAAGCUCAUCAAGUGACGGUAACUACCCAGAAAGGGACGGCUAACUACGUGCCAGCAGCCGCGGUAAUACGUAGGUCCCGAGCGUUGUCCGGAUUUAUUGGGCGUAAAGCGAGCGCAGGUGGUUUAUUAAGUCUGGUGUAAAAGGCAGUGGCUCAACCAUUGUAUGCAUUGGAAACUGGUAGACUUGAGUGCAGGAGAGGAGAGUGGAAUUCCAUGUGUAGCGGUGAAAUGCGUAGAUAUAUGGAGGAACACCGGUGGCGAAAGCGGCUCUCUGGCCUGUAACUGACACUGAGGCUCGAAAGCGUGGGGAGCAAACAGGAUUAGAUACCCUGGUAGUCCACGCCGUAAACGAUGAGUGCUAGAUGUAGGGAGCUAUAAGUUCUCUGUAUCGCAGCUAACGCAAUAAGCACUCCGCCUGGGGAGUACGACCGCAAGGUUGAAACUCAAAGGAAUUGACGGGGGCCCGCACAAGCGGUGGAGCAUGUGGUUUAAUUCGAAGCAACGCGAAGAACCUUACCAGGUCUUGACAUACUCGUGCUAUUCCUAGAGAUAGGAGGUUCCUUCGGGACACGGGAUACAGGUGGUGCAUGGUUGUCGUCAGCUCGUGUCGUGAGAUGUUGGGUUAAGUCCCGCAGCGAGCGCAACCCCUAUUGUUAGUUGCCAUCAUUAAGUUGGGCACUCUAACGAGACUGCCGGUGAUAAACCGGAGGAAGGUGGGGAUGACGUCAAAUCAUCAUGCCCCUUAUGACCUGGGCUACACACGUGCUACAAUGGAUGGUACAACGAGUCGCGAGACAGUGAUGUUUAGCUAAUCUCUUAAAACCAUUCUCAGUUCGGAUUGUAGGCUGCAACUCGCCUACAUGAAGUCGGAAUCGCUAGUAAUCGCGGAUCAGCACGCCGCGGUGAAUACGUUCCCGGGCCUUGUACACACCGCCCGUCACACCACGGGAGUUGGGAGUACCCGAAGUAGGUUGCCUAACCGCAAGGAGGGCGCUUCCUAAGGUAAGACCGAUGACUGGGGUGAAGUCGUAACAAGCUAACCGUA
rnacentral:rRNA from 1 species